rnacentral:rRNA from 1 species
UACGUAGGGGGCAAGCGUUGUCCGGAUUUAUUGGGCGUAAAGCGCGCGUAGGCGGCUCGGAAAGUCGGUCGUGAAAUGCCGGGGCUCAACCCCGGGACUGCGUCCGAUACUUCCGGGCUGGAGGUAGGUAGGGGAGAUCGGAAUUCCUGGUGUAGCGGUGAAAUGCGCAGAUAUCAGGAGGAACACCGGUGGCGAAGGCGGAUCUCUGGGCCUUACCUGACGCUGAGGCGCGAAAGCUAGGGGAGCGAACAGG